rnacentral:rRNA from 1 species
AGGGUUUGAUCAUGGCUCAGAUUGAACGCUGGCGGCAUGCUUUACACAUGCAAGUCGAACGGUAACAGGCCGCAAGGUGCUGACGAGUGGCGAACGGGUGAGUAAUGUAUCGGAACGUGCCCAGUCGUGGGGGAUAACGCAGCGAAAGCUGCGCUAAUACCGCGUACGAUCUAUGGAUGAAAGCGGGGGACCGUAAGGCCUCGCGCGAUUGGAGCGGCCGAUAUCAGAUUAGGUAGUUGGUGGGGUAAAGGCUCACCAAGCCAACGAUCUGUAGCUGGUCUGAGAGGACGACCAGCCACACUGGGACUGAGACACGGCCCAGACUCCUACGGGAGGCAGCAGUGGGGAAUUUUGGACAAUGGGCGCAAGCCUGAUCCAGCAAUGCCGCGUGCAGGAAGAAGGCCUUCGGGUUGUAAACUGCUUUUGUACGGAACGAAACGGUCCUGGUUAAUACCUGGGGCUAAUGACGGUACCGUAAGAAUAAGCACCGGCUAACUACGUGCCAGCA